AUUGAAACACUGGUUCUCAUAUGAUCACCAAAGUCAAGCAAUGUUGAUCCUGGUCAGUACCUAGAUGGGUGACUGUUUGGGAAUAACAGGUGCUGUAAG